rnacentral:tRNA from 1 species
AGCUCAGCUGGCAGAGCAUCUGACUUUUAAUCAGAGGGUCGAAGGUUCGAAUCCUU